GAUGAACGCUGGCGGCGUGCCUAAUACAUGCAAGUCGAGCGAACAGACGAGGAGCUUGCUCCUCUGACGUUAGCGGCGGACGGGUGAGUAACACGUGGAUAACCUACCUAUAAGACUGGGAUAACUUCGGGAAACCGGAGCUAAUACCGGAUAAUAUAUUGAACCGCAUGGUUCAAUAGUGAAAGACGGUUUUGCUGUCACUUAUAGAUGGAUCCGCGCCGCAUUAGCUAGUUGGUAAGGUAACGGCUUACCAAGGCAACGAUGCGUAGCCGACCUGAGAGGGGGAUCGGCACCACGGGACCGGAAACCGGUUCCAGACCCCAAGGGGGGGCAGCAGGAGGGAAUCUCCCGAAAGGGGCGAAAGCCGAACGGGGAAACGCCGGGGGGGUGAUGAAGGUCUUCGGUUCGUAAAACUCUUUUUUUAGGGAAAAACAAAUGGGAAAGUAACUAUGCACGUUUUGACGGUACCAAAUCAGAAAGCCCCGGCUAACUACGU
rnacentral:rRNA from 1 species